rnacentral:rRNA from 1 species
UACGGGGGGGGCAAGCGUUGUUCGGAAUUACUGGGCGUAAAGGGUCUGUAGGUGGCUUGCUAAGUCAGACGUGAAAUCCCUCAGCUUAACUGGGGAACUGCGUCUGAGACUGGCGAGCUUGAGGGCAGGAGAGGAACGCGGAAUUCCAGGUGUAGCGGUGAAAUGCGUAGAUAUCUGGAGGAACACCGGUGGCGAAGGCGGCAUCCUGGACCGGUAUUGACGCUGAGGAGCGAAAGCCAGGGGAGCAAACGGG